GGUACUCCGCGCACGUUAAGAGUAUGCGGUUUAGACUGCAAACUGGUCAUGCCCUUAACGCGCGCGGAGUAUACAAGCAGGUGUCUGCAAUCAGUUUCAAGAUUCACCGGUGAAGUGUCUGCACCGGACCAACCUCGCGCAAACAAAAACAAAAUCAUGAACACACGACCAAAAUUAUUUUUGACGAGUAUCGUCGAGUUCGUUGUGCGAAUGUUGGAGUACUGAUGUGAAUCAACAAGUUCAAUUUUCUCCACCUCGUAACAGUUAUAUUUACUGCUAUGGGCCGUUGCUGCACAAGAUUCAAAUGCCUAAAAUAUUCAACGAUUCUAAAAUAUUUGUGGACAUGAAAAUUAAGCUCUUACAAUCUAGUUUAGUAUCUAUAUCUGUGUUCUAACCUGUGUUGACCUUAUUCUAAUAAACGGAGCAAGGAUGGAUUUCAAGUGGUCUAGCGCUGCUUGACUAUACCCGUUGUACUACGAACAGGCGCAGUAAUUGAUAACUGUAUAAAACUGUAUAUAAUAUGUAUACAUAUGCUUCGUCUACUAGUAUAAGGUCUAUGGUUCCAACUUCAAAUUAAAAUUGAUAAUGAGGUGAUACCGUAUCCUGUAUAUCUUAAUUCGUGGUAGGGACAAAGUAGAAAAAUUGUCUACUAAAAAAGUAACGUAGCUGCAAAUGUAUGUAAUAUCAAUGUUUUAUAGUAUAAUUUUCAGCUGUUACGUUUUACGCAACAAUUGACAACAGCGCUAUAUGUUUUAUAUUGACCGUCGGAUUCUUGAGCAUUAGUGCAUCGACUGUUACGCUCCCGUAAAUAUAUCGAUUGUAUUAUAACCAAAAUAAAUCCAUUUAUUUUGCAUCCAGGGUUCUGAAAUACAUAAAUAAAUCUAAAAUAUUGAACAAUAAGGGGGGGGGGGAACAACCACCUGGGAGUUUGACACCGAUCAACACUGGAACCAACCAAACGUGGGCCCCUCUCUAGUACACCUGACAACUCGGGGGACAAAGCAUAGGCGAAUCUAGGAAUUCAUAGCAGGGUGUGCCUUUACCUCAAAAAGGCCCUCUGUAGUUCAAAAUACCUCUCAGUUAUCACACGUUUAAAAUAUGUUUCCCAUUUGAAAUCACAAUAUUAAUAAUAUUAAAUAAUAUUAAGAUGAAUUUUUAUUACCUAGUUUAGAUGCUAUUUUUCGUGCUGUAAAAUAUACAUGUUAUGUUUCAAAAUUAUUCAAUUU